rnacentral:tRNA from 1 species
GGGGCCGUUGGGUAGUUUGGUCCAUCCUUCGGGCUUUGGGAGCCCGCGACCCCGGUUCAAAUCCGGGCGGCCCCA